GGCAGGGUGAGUCGACCCCUAAGGCGAGGCCGAAAGGCGUAGUCGAUGGGAAACAGGUUAAUAUUCCUGUACUUGGUGUUACUGCGAAGGGGGGACGGAGAAGGCUAUGUUAGCCGGGCGACGGUUGUCCCGGUUUAAGCAUGUAGGCUGGUUGUCCAGGCAAAUCCGGAUAAUCAAGGCUGAGGUGUGAUGACGAGGUACUACGGUGCUGAAGUAACAAAUGCCCUGCUUCCAGGAAAAGCCUCUAAGCAUCAGGUAACAUCAAAUCGUACCCCAAACCGACACAGGUGGUCAGGUAGAGAAUACCAAGGCGCUUGAGAGAACUCGGGUGAAGGAACUAGGCAAAAUGGUGCCGUAACUUCGGGAGAAGGCACGCUGGUGUGUAGGUGAAGUCCCUGCGGAUGGAGCUGAGACCAGUCGAAGAUACCAGCUGGCUGCAACUGUUUAUUAAAAACACAGCACUGUGCAAACACGAAAGUGGACGUAUACGGUGUGACGCCUGCCCGGUGCCGGAAGGUUAAUUGAUGGGGUUAUCCGUAAGGAGAAGCUCUUGAUCGAAGCCCCGGUAAACGGCGGCCGUAACUAUAACGGUCCUAAGGUAGCGAAAUUCCUUGUCGGGUAAGUUCCGACCUGCACGAAUGGCGUAAUGAUGGCCAGGCUGUCUCCACCCGAGACUCAGUGAAAUUGAACUCGCUGUGAAGAUGCAGUGUACCCGCGGCAAGACGGAAAGACCCCGUGAACCUUUACUAUAGCUUGACACUGAACAUUGAGCCUUGAUGUGUAGGAUAGGUGGGAGGCUUUGAAGCGUGGACGCCAGUCUGCGUGGAGCCAACCUUGAAAUACCACCCUUUAAUGUUUGAUGUUCUAACGUUGGCCCCUUACCGGGGUUGCGGACAGUGUCUGGUGGGUAGUUUGACUGGGGCGGUCUCCUCCCAAAGCGUAACGGAGGAGCACGAAGGUUAGCUAAUCCUGGUCGGACAUCAGGAGGUUAGUGCAAUGGCAUAAGCUAGCUUGACUGCGAGCGUGACGGCGCGAGCAGGUGCGAAAGCAGGUCAUAGUGAUCCGGUGGUUCUGAAUGGAAGGGCCAUCGCUCAACGGAUAAAAGGUACUCCGGGGAUAACAGGCUGAUACCGCCCAAGAGUUCAUAUCGACGGCGGUGUUUGGCACCUCGAUGUCGGCUCAUCACAUCCUGGGGCUGAAGUAGGUCCCAAGGGUAUGGCUGUUCGCCAUUUAAAGUGGUACGCGAGCUGGGUUUAGAACGUCGUGAGACAGUUCGGUCCCUAUCUGCCGUGGGCGCUGGAGAAUUGAGGGGGGCUGCUCCUAGUACGAGAGGACCGGAGUGGACGCAUCACUGGUGUUCGGGUUGUCAUGCCAAUGGCACUGCCCGGUAGCUAAAUGCGGAAGAGAUAAGUGCUGAAAGCAUCUAAGCACGAAACUUGCCCCGAGAUGAGUUCUCCCUGAGACUUUAAGUCUCCUGAAGGAACGUUGAAGACGACGACGUUGAUAGGCCGGGUGUGUAAGCGCAGCGAUGCGUUGAGCUAACCGGUACUAAUGAACCGUGAGGCUUAACCUU
rnacentral:rRNA from 1 species